CCCAGGGCAGGCAGCGCACAGCACUUCCAAGCACCAGCCUCCCGCGCGGUCCUACUGGGAGUUUAAUUAUAGGGCUGCAUAGUGGGGAGCGGUUCUCAAACUUCACCCUUUUGACAUUCAGCAGAAAUUCAGAGAAAGCUUCCUGUGUCCCCCGACAGGACGGAGAGCCCUAAAGGUUUGGGCGCGAUUUUCCCUCCCCUAGCUCCUCCACCUUUGCUUCUCAGUGCUCCCCCCAGGCCUUCUGCCUCCAGGAGCUUCCCCUUUAUCUUUGGCCCCGACGUCCAUCUAUCCCUAGUCCCUCCCGCCGCUCUGCCGCUCUGCCGCUCCGCCGAAGCCCAACCCCUCUGCUGUCCCUUUCUGUUUCUCUGCAGCACCUCCAAGGGCCUAGGAUCCCCAGGAGGAAACGAAGCCCGAUCCUGAAUCAGCCCAGCCAUCUGCCGUCCUUGGUCCACAUCCAAGCUGCUGAUGGCUGCUGAGGAAAAACCGCACAACCGAGCGAAUUCAUGUUACUACAGAUCAUGAUCUUCAACCCCAGCUGUGCGCUCCUGACAGCAAGCAAUUCUGCGACCCCUCUUCAUCUUUCUUUUCCAUCCUGUAGUCCCAGCCGGGACAAAAUCUCGCAGCUUUCUCCUGGCUCCUUCUCUGCACACUCUCAGUGGAUGACCUUGCCUAAGGGUGGUCUUUAGGUACAAAGUUGCUCUUUUCUCAACUUGGCAGUGGUGAAUCCUAUCUGCAUCCAUGCCCAUCUUUGCUGCCAUCUCUGGGGCCCAGCUGCCCUUCUUUCCACGUGACACCUCCCCUGCAUCCCCCUCUCUCCUACUUGGCAGCAUCUACCCUUGGCUGCACGCUCCCUGCCAGGAGUUUGACACUGUCUGUGAAAGGCUUUUGCCUUAAUAACCUCAUCUUCAGUAUCCCUGCUAUGUGACUAGGUCUUUUCAUAUCUCAUCUGGAUCAUUACAGUCUUCCUAACUGGUCUCCCUUUAAUGCUUGACUCCUUUGGCUCCAGAUAUUUCCCUCUACCAAAGCCAGAGGAUUGUUUCUGAAAUGCAGAUCUGAUUAUAUGAAUCUGUGUUCAGGAAAUGAACUCAGAUUUACAUCAUAACAAAUGACCAGAAACUGGGGGCGGGUGGGGAACAGCAGCACAAACAUACUCUCUCACAGCUCUGGAGGCCAGACGUAUGAGAUCCACGUGUCAGCAAGACUGGCUCCUCUGGAAGCUCUGGGGGAGAAUCCAUCCCAUGCCUAUCUCUUAGCUCUGGUGGCUGUCAGCAGUCUUUGGCUUGUGGACCCGCCACUCCAACCCCUGCCUCCAUCUUCAUGUGGACUUCUGGUCUCUGUGUCUCAAAUCUUUCUUUUUUAUAGGGACACCAGUCACUGGACUUAAGGUCCACUGUGAAUCUGCGAUGAUCUCAUUUCAAGAUCCUUAUCUUAAUUAUGUCUGCAAAAACCCUUAUUUCAAAUAAGGUUGCAUUCUGAGGUGCCAGGUGUUAGGACUUAGACAUGUAUUUUGGGGGCUGCUAUGUACUCCACUACAUGCCUCCUUGAUUAAAACCAUCCAGUGGUACCCCAGUUCUCUUCUGGGUAUACCUCAACCGCUCAGUCUGGAACACCUUCCCCAGCCUAGGCAGUCUCACCUCUCCGUGCACCUGCUCUGCCAAGUAUGCACAUUCCUCCCGCUGAAAGGAUCUCCCCUUCCCAGUCCUCUCCACCCCGUGUCUUAUUAAGUCUCUGCUCAGGAAUGCCCUCCUUCCCUCUGGACUCCCCCAUCUUUCUCCAAGUCCACAAAGUGCUCUGUGUAGACCCACAACUCAUAGAACACAAAGCUGAAAACCAUCCCCAAAGCCAAACAGUGCAGUAGACUGGAAAUGUGUGAAAUUUUAUAUGGAUUGUUUAAUCUAAAAAUUUUUUUAAAGUCCAAAUACACUUAUUCAUAAGUUACCUGUUAGUAGAGGCAA